rnacentral:lncRNA from 1 species
CAAGGAGACUGUUGCCAUGGUGACUCAGAGUUGAGGCCAAUGGCGGCUCCACCAUCCUGUGGCUAUGAUUCCUGAACUUGUGGUCUCCUCAGUUGAUGAGGUGAAGAAAGAAAGCCUGGAGAAUUAUGCACGAGCUUCUCACUGUCUCAGCCCACAAGUAACACACCUCUUUCCCUCACAGCCCACACUGGCUGGAACCAAUCACAUAGCCCUGCCUAACUGCAAGGGAGGCCAGAAAGUGCAACACUUUCUCAUGGUCACGGGUGAGCACGAAACAUCUCUCCAAAUAUGGGUUGGGAAGAUUAAGAGACUAGUCCAGAAGAAAACAGUCUCCAGGGAGAAAUAUAUCUGGGAAUAGGAAUCGAGAAAGCAACCAAGAGAGCAGAACUGAGUGGAUGAGAGGAACUGUCAGACCACAUCUGCAGCUCUGAUUAGUCAAAUCCGAAAUGUGCCUGUUGAUCUACUAUUCCGUGGAAAUACUGGAAUCACCAGCUCAAUAAUAAGAGGAAAGUAAAUAAUACCAUACUUGCGUGGAUAAUUCCCCUCUGCUCAUACCUUCAUUCAGGUCAACAUAGAUCUAUCAUACUCCUACAGUGUAUAAGGGACGUGCUAAGCUUGAAGUACAUUCAUUCUAAAAAUCAAAAUACAAAGGCAUGGGAAGACUAAGAAAAUUUCAUAAACCUUCAUUAAAUUAUCAGAAAUACCUGGGAUUCUCAGCUCCAUUUAUAAAGAAACCAGAGUUACAGUUCUUCCAUUACUGAUUGCUUUCUGGAUUGAAUAUUUGAACUCUGCUUUAGUGAUUCCUCUUGCUUAUAUGUGGGAGGAAGACCCCCUACCCUGAGCCAGCAGCUGGAGCACAGCCUGAACACACAGGUUCUCCCUCCUUAAGUGUUGGGCUCUAGAUUCAAGGGCAUGACAGAGUCGUGGGAAUCGCUGGAACGUUUCUAGAGGCGCUGGAUCCAGGGCAAAAAUGAAGACAUAAGGGACCUUAGGUGACAAGGAAGAAGCUCCCAGGCAGCAUGUGGGAUGGACCCAAGGAGAACGUCAGAGAGAAAGAGUUCAGUCUGGUGUCUCCUGAAGCAGGUUAAAAUUAAGCUCGGCAGGCUCGACGUAAAUGUGCAGACAAAGCAAAGCAGGAAGCCUCCCACACUAAAAAGGGAAGAUAAGAAUCACAGAAGCUGGGAUGGUUUUUAUUGAAGGGCAUUUCAAAGCAAAUACAGACAUCUACAGCAUAUUUGUAAAUCCUCCGUAUGUGUAUGGAAACACACACCUUCACACAUCAAAACUGGAUUUGUUCCUGAGUAACAAAACGUCCUAAGAACAAAAUGAAAGAAAACCAAAUAGCAGAAAAAUACUUCCAAUGUAUAUACCACAAAGGAUUAUUUAUCAACUCAACACACCAAGAGUUAAGAAAAUAAUGCAACAGGAACAAAGGGCAAAGGAUAUGUACUGGGAAGACCACAGAGAAAGAAAAUGCAAAUGGCUAAUAAUAUAAAAUAUUUCCUAGGUUCAAUAGUAAUCAGGGAAAGACAAAAUUACACUUUUGACCUCUUAGACUGGCAGUGACAAAGAUUAUUUGAGUGACCAAGCUUUAGUCAGGCUCCUGGAUCUUCUAGGCCCAUCUGGGCACUUCCUCGUAAAAUACAGUUUUAACAAAAGCCCUGCUAAAUUGGUUUACCGAGAACUCCCACCCUCAAUCGAGUUCCUUAGCCCUUCACCUUUCCUCAGGUGAGGGCUGAUCAUCCUGUCCUGUCUUCAGCAAGACUGCUCUAACGCUGACGUUUCCUUUUAGUAAUUUUCCAUCCACUGACACCCACUUGUAAUUUAUAGCCAAGGAGCAAGAUACACUGCUCCUUGGCUAUAAGUUAUUUUCCCUGUUACAUUCAGAGUUGAGCCCAAUCCCACUCCCCGACUACAAAAUCGAUAGCAGUGGUCCCUAUACCUAUUGCAAUGGUCCUAAAUAAAACCUGCCUUACCGUGCUUGAACAAGUGUCAUCGAAUAAUUUUUUAACAGCAAAUUGUUGGAGGUAAA